rnacentral:lncRNA from 1 species
AAAAUAGUUCCUUAUACGUACGAGAUAUCACAUUCACAGCUGUAUGGUGUAAGAAAUUAUUAAUGACCUGCCUCCACAACGUGACAACUCUUGAUUUCUGGACUCCAUCCACAUAUAUGAAACUGACACUAUCAAUUGUAAAUCACAAAUACACUACUACAAUAGAAAAUUUCCAUAUCAUACGAUAAAAAAAACAACUAAUAUUCUUAUUUUGACCAAGUUAUCAUUAGUCAGACACUACAUUAAGUUGACACUAUUAAAUGUAGCUACUUCUCCAUAUAGAAAUUCAAACCAAGGUAGCCAAGUUGUAGGACUAUGAAUCUAAUCCUUUUUCAGGAUACUUUUCAUGCAAGAUCAAUCAA